rnacentral:rRNA from 1 species
CCUACGGGGGGCAGCAGUCGAGAAUCAUUCACAAUGGGGGAAACCCUGAUGGUGCGACGCCGCGUGGGGGAAUGAAGGUCUUCGGAUUGUAAACCCCUGUCAUGUGGGAGCAAAUUAAAAAGAUAGUACCACACGAGGAAGAGACGGCUAACGCUGUGCCAGCAGCCGCGGUAAUACAGCGGUCUCAAGCGUUGUUCGGAACCACUGGGCGUAAAGCGUGCGUAGGCGGUUUCGUAAGUCGUGUGUGAAAGGCGCGGGCUCAACCCGCGGACGGCACGUGAUAAUGCGAGACUAGAGUAAUGGAGGGGGAACCGGAAUUCUCGGUGUAGCAGUGAAAUGCGUAGAUAUCGAGAGGAACACUCGUGGCGAAGGCGGGUUCCUGGACAUUAACUGACGCUGAGGCACGAAGGCCAGGGGAGCGAAAGGGAUUAGAUACCCCUGUAGUC